GAUGAACGCUAGCGGGAGGCCUAACACAUGCAAGCCGAGCGGUAGAGUCUCUUCGGAGACUUGAGAGCGGCGCACGGGUGCGGAACACGUGUGCAACCUGCCUUUAUCUGGGGGAUAGCCUUUCGAAAGGAAGAUUAAUACCCCAUAAUAUACUGGAUGGCAUCAUCUGGUAUUGAAAACUCCGGUGGAUAGAGAUGGGCACGCGCAAGAUUAGAUAGUUGGUGAGGUAACGGCUCACCAAGUCAGCGAUCUUUAGGGGGCCUGAGAGGGUGAUCCCCCACACUGGUACUGAGACACGGACCAGACUCCUACGGGAGGCAGCAGUGAGGAAUAUUGGACAAUGGGUGAGAGCCUGAUCCAGCCAUCCCGCGUGAAGGACGACGGCCCUAUGGGUUGUAAACUUCUUUUGUAUAGGGAUAAACCUAGAUACAUGUAUCUAGCUGAAGGUACUAUACGAAUAAGCACCGGCUAACUCCGUG
rnacentral:rRNA from 1 species